AGAGUUUGAUCAUGGCUCAGAACGAACGCUGGCGGCGUGCUUAACACAUGCAAGUCGAACGUGAUUGGAAGCUUGCUUCCAUGAAAGUGGCGCACGGGUGAGUAACGCGUGGAUAACCUGCCCUGGUAUCUGGGAUAACAUCUCGAAAGGGGUGCUAAUACCGGAUAAGCCCACGGAACCUUCGGGUUCUGAGGGAAAAGGUGGCCUCUGUCUCAAGCUACCGUAUCAGGAUGGGUCCGCGUACCAUUAGCUAGUUGGUAGGGUAAUGGCCUACCAAGGCGACGAUGGUUAGCUGGUCUGAGAGGAUGAUCAGCCACACUGGAACUGAGACACGGUCCAGACUCCUACGGGAGGCAGCAGUGGGGAAUUUUGCGCAAUGGGGGAAACCCUGACGCAGCAACGCCGCGUGAGUGAUGAAGGCUUUCGGGUCGUAAAGCUCUGUCAGAGGGGAAGAAAUGAAAGGGUGCUAAUACCAUCUUUUCUUGACGGUACCUUCAAAGGAAGCACCGGCUAACUCCGUGCCAGCAGCCGCGGUA
rnacentral:rRNA from 1 species